rnacentral:rRNA from 1 species
AUUGAACGCUGGCGGCAGGCCUAACACAUGCAAGUCGAGCGAGCGGCGGACGGGUGAGUAAUGUCUGGGAAACUGCCUGAUGGAGGGGGAUAACUACUGGAAACGGUAGCUAAUACCGCAUACCAUCAGAUGUGCCCAGAUGGGAUUAGCUAGUAGGUGGGGUAACGGCUCACCUAGGCGACGAUCCCUAGCUGGUCUGAGAGGAUGACCAGCCCCACUGGAAUGUAGACACGGUCCAGCCUCCUACGGGAGGCAGCGUUGGGGAAUAUUGCACAAGGGGCGCAAGCCUGAUGCAGCCAUGCCGCGUGUAUGAAGAAGGCCUUCGGGUUGUAAAGUACUUUCAGCGGGGAGGCGUUACUCGCAGAAGAAGCACCGGCUAACUCCGUGCCAGCAGCCGCGGUAAUU